GCCUUUGUGGUGUAAUUGGAAGCACACUCGACGCCUAUUCGAGAGAUCCAGGGUUCGAAUCCCGGGGAGGGCU